GUUGUUGGGUAGGGGAGCGUUCUGUAAGCCUGUGAAGGUGUACUGUGAGGUAUGCUGGAGGUAUCAGAAGUGCGAAUGCUGACAUAAGUAACGAUAAAGCGGGUGAAAAGCCCGCUCGCCGGAAGACCAAGGGUUCCUGUCCAACGUUAAUCGGGGCAGGGUGAGUCGACCCCUAAGGCGAGGCCGAAAGGCGUAGUCGAUGGGAAACAGGUUAAUAUUCCUGUACUUGGUGUUACUGCGAAGGGGGGACGGAGAAGGCUAUGUUGGCCGGGCGACGGUUGUCCCGGUUUAAGCGUGUAGGCUGGUUUUCCAGGCAAAUCCGGAAAACCAAGGCUGAGGCGUGAUGACGAGGCACUACGGUGCUGAAGCGACAAAUGCCCUGCUUCCAGGAAAAGCCUCUAAGCAUCAGGUAACAUCAAAUCGUACCCCAAACCGACACAGGUGGUCAGGUAGAGAAUACCAAGGCGCUUGAGAGAACUCGGGUGAAGGAACUAGGCAAAAUGGUGCCGUAACUUCGGGAGAAGGCACGCUGAUAUGUAGGUGAAGCGACUAGCUCGUGGAGCUGAAAUCAGUCGAAGAUACCAGCUGGCUGCAACUGUUUAUUAAAAACACAGCACUGUGCAAACACGAAAGUGGACGUAUACGGUGUGACGCCUGCCCGGUGCCGGAAGGUUAAUUGAUGGGGUUAGCGGUAACGCGAAGCUCUUGAUCGAAGCCCCGGUAAACGGCGGCCGUAACUAUAACGGUCCUAAGGUAGCGAAAUUCCUUGUCGGGUAAGUUCCGACCUGCACGAAUGGCGUAAUGAUGGCCAGGCUGUCUCCACCCGAGACUCAGUGAAAUUGAACUCGCUGUGAAGAUGCAGUGUACCCGCGGCAAGACGGAAAGACCCCGUGAACCUUUACUAUAGCUUGACACUGAACAUUGAGCCUUGAUGUGUAGGAUAGGUGGGAGGCUUUGAAGUGUGGACGCCAGUCUGCAUGGAGCCGACCUUGAAAUACCACCCUUUAAUGUUUGAUGUUCUAACGUUGGCCCGUAAUCCGGGUUGCGGACAGUGUCUGGUGGGUAGUUUGACUGGGGCGGUCUCCUCCUAAAGAGUAACGGAGGAGCACGAAGGUUGGCUAAUCCUGGUCGGACAUCAGGAGGUUAGUGCAAUGGCAUAAGCCAGCUUGACUGCGAGCGUGACGGCGCGAGCAGGUGCGAAAGCAGGUCAUAGUGAUCCGGUGGUUCUGAAUGGAAGGGCCAUCGCUCAACGGAUAAAAGGUACUCCGGGGAUAACAGGCUGAUACCGCCCAAGAGUUCAUAUCGACGGCGGUGUUUGGCACCUCGAUGUCGGCUCAUCACAUCCUGGGGCUGAAGUAGGUCCCAAGGGUAUGGCUGUUCGCCAUUUAAAGUGGUACGCGAGCUGGGUUUAGAACGUCGUGAGACAGUUCGGUCCCUAUCUGCCGUGGGCGCUGGAGAACUGAGGGGGGCUGCUCCUAGUACGAGAGGACCGGAGUGGACGCAUCACUGGUGUUCGGGUUGUCAUGCCAAUGGCACUGCCCGGUAGCUAAAUGCGGAAGAGAUAAGUGCUGAAAGCAUCUAAGCACGAAACUUGCCCCGAGAUGAGUUCUCCCUGA
rnacentral:rRNA from 1 species